rnacentral:rRNA from 1 species
GAUGAACGCUGGCGGCGUGCUUAACACAUGCAAGUCGAACGGUGAAGGCGGAGCUUGCUCUGCUGGAUCAGUGGCGAACGGGUGAGUAACACGUGAGCAAUCUGCCCCUGACUCUGGGAUAAGCGCUGGAAACGGCGUCUAAUACUGGAUACGAGCUGCGAAGGCAUCUUCAGCAGCUGGAAAGAAUUUCGGUCAGGGAUGAGCUCGCGGCCUAUCAGCUUGUUGGUGAGGUAAUGGCUCACCAAGGCGUCGACGGGUAGCCGGCCUGAGAGGGUGACCGGCCACACUGGGACUGAGACGCGGCCCAGACUCCUACGGGAGGCAGCAGUGGGGAAUAUGGCACAAUGGGCGAAAGCCUGAUGCAGCAACGCCGCGUGAGGGACGACGGCCCUCGGGUUGUAAACCUCUUUUAGCAGGGAAGAAGCGAAAGUGACGGUACCUGCAGAAAAAGCGCCGGCUAACUACGG